rnacentral:rRNA from 1 species
CGGGUGAGUAAUGUAUGGGGAUCUGCCUGAUGGCGGGGGAUAACUACUGGAAACGGUAGCUAAUACCGCAUAAUGUCUACGGACCAAAGCGGGGGACCUCCGGGCCUCUUGCCAUCGGAUGUGCCCAGAUGGGAUUAGCUAGUAGGUGGGGUAACGGCUCACCUAGGCGACGAUCCCUAGCUGGUCUGAGAGGAUGAUCAGCCACACUGGGACUGAGACACGGCCCAG